CUAGCCGUAAACGAUGGAUACUAGGCGUUGUGAGUAUCGACCCCCACAGUGUCGUAGCUAACGCGUUAAGUAUCCCGCCUGGGGAGUACGCGCGCAAGCGUGAAACUCAAAGGAAUUGACGGGGGCCCGCACAAGCGGUGGAGUAUGUGGUUUAAUUCGAUGCAACGCGAAGAACCUUACCAGGACUUGACAUGUCGCGAAUCUCAGGGAAACUUGAGAGUGCCUUCGGGAGCGCGAACACAGGUGGUGC
rnacentral:rRNA from 1 species